rnacentral:rRNA from 1 species
AUUGAACGCUGGCGGCAGGCCUAACACAUGCAAGUCGAGCGAGCGGCGGACGGGUGAGUAAUGUCUGGGACCCUGCCUGAUGGAGGGGGAUAACUACUGGAAACGGUAGCUAAUACCGCAUACCAUCAGAUGUGCACAGCGGGGAUUAGCUAGUAGGUGGGGUAGCGGCUCACCUAGGCGACGAUCCCUCGCUGGUCUGAGAGGAUGACCAGCCACACUGUCACGUAGACACGGUCAAGACCCCUACGGAAGGAAACAGGGGGGAGUAUUGCAAAAUGGGCGCAAGCCUGAUACAGCCAUGCCGCGUGUGUGAAGAGGGCCUUCGGGUUGUAAAGCACUUUCAGCGGGGAGGCGUUACCCGCAGAAGAAGCACCGGCUAACUCCGUGCCAGCAGCCGCGGUAAUAC